CGGCUCUCACCCGAGCGACCCGGGUUCGAGUCCCGGCAACGGAAGCUCCCGAGUGAAUCACUGGAUUACGUUUCUUUUUGCUUGUUCUUUUUAUUUGUCCUGUAAGGUUCUGUGCCUUCUCGUCUUUCAAGGCCUCCUGGAGAGAACCGAAGCCAUGCUUCAACAUAAACUAAAAUUGAUAAUAUAUAAUAGUGUACUCACAAAGAAGUCCGUAACAUUUGAAAACAGAGAUAGUCACUCCAAUUGUACACCCAUGAUCCUACACAAUUCAGAGUUGUUACUUCAACAACCAUCCACCCAAACAUUUUCGGUUUUUUGAUGUCUACCUUCUGCAGCAUAUAGACAGAGGGAUACAUUGAAUCAUUAAAAAUUAAAGAAUUGGCGCUCCUUUUUAAUAACCUUCAUAUUAUUGGUUGAAAUAUGAUAUUUUGCAUUCAUUCUAU
rnacentral:lncRNA from 1 species